rnacentral:rRNA from 1 species
CCUCUUCCCAUUCCGAACAGAGCAGUCAAGCCCGCCAGAGCCGAUGGUACUGCCGUAAAAGGUGGGAGAGUAGGUCGGUGCCGGUU